rnacentral:rRNA from 1 species
GAGUUUGAUCCUGGCUCAGAAUGAACGUUGGCGGCGUGGAUUAGGCAUGCAAGUCGUACGCUGCCAUGUAGCAAUACAUGGAGAGUGGCGUAAGGGAGAGUAAUGCAUGGUUAGCUACCCUCGGGACUGGAAUAGCGGCGGGAAACUGCCGGUAAUGCCAGAUGAUGUCUUCGGACCAAACGUGUAAACCGGCCCGAGGAGGUGACCAUGUCCUAUCAGCUUGUUGGCGGGGUAACGGCCCACCAAGGCAAAGACGGGUAUGGGGCGUGAGAGCGUGCCCCCACUCACUGGGACUGAGACACUGCCCAGACACCUACGGGUGGCUGCAGUCGAGAAUCUUCGGCAAUGGGCGCAAGCCUGACCGAGCGACGCCGCGUGCGGGAUGAAGGCCUUCGGGUUGUAAACCGCUGUCGUAGGGGAGGAAGGCUCCGUGUAGAACGGAGUUGACCGAUCGAAGGAGGAA